rnacentral:rRNA from 1 species
CCUACGGGGGGCAGCAGUGAGGAAUAUUGGUCAAUGGACGAGAGUCUGAACCAGCCAAGUAGCGUGAAGGAUGACUGCCCUAUGGGUUGUAAACUUCUUUUAUAUGGGAAUAAAAUGUUCCACGUGUGGGAUUUUGUAUGUACCAUAUGAAUAAGGAUCGGCUAAAUCCGUGCCAGCAGCCGCGGUAAUACGGAGGAUCCGAGCGUUAUCCGGAUUUAUUGGGUUUAAAGGGAGCGUAGGUGGAUUGGUAAGUCAGUUGUGAAAGUUUGCGGCUCAACCGUAAAAUUGCAGUUGAAACUGGCAGUCUUGAGUACAGUAGAGGUGGGCGGAAUUCGUGGUGUAGCGGUGAAAUGCUUAGAUAUCACGAAGAACUCCGAUUGCGAAGGCAGUUCACUGGACUGCAACUGACACUGAGGCUCGAAAGUGUGGGUAUCAAACAGGAUUAGAUACCCGAGUAGUC